rnacentral:misc_RNA from 1 species
GAUGAAGAACGCAGCGAAAUGCGAUACGUAAUGUGAAUUGCAGAAUUCAGUGAAUCAUCGAGUCUUUGAACGCACAUUGCGCCCCCUGGUAUUCCGGGGGGCAUGCCUGUCCGAGCGUCAUUGCUGCCCUCAAGCCCGGCUUGUGUGUUGGGUCUCGUCCCCCUUCCCGGGGGGACGGGCCCGAAAGGCAGCGGCGGCACCGCGUCCGGUCCUCGAGCGUAUGGGGCUUCGUCACCCGCUCUUGUAGGCCCGGCCGGCGCUUGCCGACACAUCAAUCUUUUUUCCAGGUUGACCUCGGAUCAGGUAGGGAUACCCGCUGAACUUAAGCAUAUCAAUAAGCGGAGGA